CCUACGGGAGGCAGCAGUGAGGAAUCUUGGUCAAUGGACGAGAGUCUGAACCAGCCAAGUAGCGUGAAGGAUUACUGCCCUAUGGGUUGUAAACUUCUUUUAUGUGGGAAUAAAAUGUUCCAAGAGUGGCAUUUUAUGUGUACCAUAUGAAUAAUGUGCGGCUAACUCCGUGACAGCAGCCGCGGUAAUACGGAGGAUCCGAGCGUUAGCCGGAUUUAUUGGGUUUAAAGGGCGCGUAGGUGGGUUGGUAAGUCAGGUGUGAAAGGUUGCGGCUCAACCGGAACAUUGCAGUUGAUACUGGCAGUCUUGAGUAGAGGAGAGGUGAGCGGAAUUCGUGGUGUAGCGGUGAAAUGCGUAGAUAUCGCGAAGAACACCGAUGGCGAAGGCAGGUCACUGGACUGCAACUGACACUGAGGCUCGAAGGUGUGGGUAGCGAACAGGAUUAGAUACCCCUGUAGUC
rnacentral:rRNA from 1 species